rnacentral:lncRNA from 1 species
AUAGAUUGAGAUUUGGGGCGGUGGAGAGGUGCUGAUAGGUUGCUGGUGUGACUGAGUGCAUUUUGGGUUGUUUUGGUUCUAUAUUUUGUUUUGAGUUCUCAACUCUCCUAGGACAUCUGAAAAUCAUUCUGGGUUGUGUCUCAAUUUCGAGGGCUGUGUAUUUUGCUGUUUGAUCUUCUCUUGGUCUACUGUUUUUCGAACUGCCGCUGACUUACUCUUCCCCUUUAUUAUUCGUCAAAUCUCUAGGUACAAUACUCGAA